rnacentral:rRNA from 1 species
AGAACGAACGCUGGCGGCAGGCCUAACACAUGCAAGUCGAGCGCCCAGCAAUGGGAGCGGCGCACGGGUGAGUAACACGUGGGAAUAUGCCCUUUGGUUCGGAAUAACGUAGGGAAACUUGCGCUAAUACCGGAUAAGCCCUUCGGGGGAAAGAUUUAUCGCCAUUGGAGUAGCCCGCAUCUGAUUAGCUAGUUGGUGAGGUAAAAGCCCACCAAGGCGACGAUCAGUAGCUGGUUUGAGAGAACGACCAGCCACACUGGGACUGAGACACGGCCCAGACUCCUACGGGAGGCAGCAGUGGGGAAUCUUGGACAAUGGGGGAAACCCUGAUCCAGCCAUGCCGCGUGAGUGAUGAAGGCCCUAGGGUUGUAAAACUCUUUCGGGCGGGGACGAUAAUGACGGUACCCGCAGAAGAAGCUCCGGCUAACUUCGUGCCAGCAGCCGC